rnacentral:misc_RNA from 1 species
UUUCCGUAGGUGAACCUGCGGAAGGAUCAUUACAGAGUUCAUGCCCGAAAGGGUAUACCUCCCACCCUUGUGUAUUAUUACUUUGUUGCUUUGGCGAGCGCAAGCUCGCCAGCGAAUACCAAAACUCUCUUUAUUAAUGUCGUCUGAGUACUAUCUAAUAGUUAAAACUUUCAACAACGGAUCUCUUGGUUCUG